UACAUGUGGGGCAAGCGUUGUUCGGAAUUACUGGGCAUAAAGGGUGCGUAGGUGGCUUAGUAAGUCAGUGGUGAAAUCCCCGAGCUUAACUUGGGAACUGCCAUUGAUACUAUUUGUCUUGAAUACUGUGGAGGUUAGCGGAAUAUGUCAUGUAGCGGUGAAAUGCUUAGAUAUGACAUAGAACAUCAAUUGCGAAGGCAGCUGGCUACACAAAUAUUGACACUGAUGCACGAAAGCGUGGGGAUCAAACAGG
rnacentral:rRNA from 1 species